UACGGGGGGGGCAAGCGUUGUUCGGAAUUAUUGGGCGUAAAGGGCGCGUAGGCGGCCCGGUAAGUCAAAGGUGAAAUCCCUCGGCUCAACUGAGGAACUGCCUUUGAAACUGUCGGGCUUGAGGCCGGGAGGGGGUAGCGGAAUUCCCAGUGUAGCGGUGAAAUGCGUAGAUAUCAGGAAGAACACCCGUGGCGAAAGCGGCUCUCUGGAACGGUACUGACGCUGAGACGCGAAAGCGUGGAGAGCGAACAGG
rnacentral:rRNA from 1 species